GCCCAGUUAGCUCAGUCAGUAGAGCAUGAGACUCUUAAUCUCAGGGUUGUGGGUUCAAGCCCCACAUUGGGUG
rnacentral:tRNA from 2 species